rnacentral:snRNA from 1 species
CCCUAGCCCCGAUGGAAACGAAAAGCCCGGAGCUUAUGAAUGUAAUUUUUCUUGCACCAAAAAAGCGACCAGAGGAAGCUCUUUUUAGUGCUUAGAAAAAUACAUUUAUAAGUGAGGACUUGCAGUGUACAGCGGGAAUAGCU